UGAGAUAUAUAUUAUACUUUAUAUCAGUUUUAUAAUAUUUUUAUGAAUUAAAUUUAUUAUAUUAGGUACUAGAAUUUAAAAUUUUUAAUAAUGUUUUAUUUUGUAAUAAAAUGUUAUUAUUAAUUUUUCAAUUAUUUUUAAAAUUUUAUUUUAUUUACGGAUCAAAUCGGAUUUUCUUUAAAAUUCUAAAACACUUCGGAUAUCCGAGUCACCAAUAUCUAGGUUGUUAAAGAUAGAAUCGACACGAAUGCUUCUAAAUACCCAUAUAUUCGAUCUGGCCCACCCCUACAAUUUUAUUUUUUUUAUAUGAAAAAAUGACUAAUGAAGGCCUUCUUUAUUUUAAAUUAAUUUUAAUUUUAUCUUUCAUGUAUUAUUUUGAACAAAAAUGUCAUUUAGUAUUAAUUAAUAAUAUCUUUAUAUAUUUAUCAACUAUUUAUAUAUAUUUCUUACAUACAUAUAUAUGUGCACCUUGAUGUGACCACCUUGUAACUAAAUAUUCACCACAACUGAGGUAUCUAAUUUUUUUGAAAGUUGAAAUACUUUUUUCUUAAUGCUUCUUUCACUACCAACCAAAUGUAGUAAAAUAAUAUAUCUUAACAAUUCUUUUUUCUUUUUAUUAAACUAUUUUAGAAACUAUAAUAUGAAACUAUUGGUUCGACAUAACGACUAUCUAAAACUCAUAACAUGAAAAUAAAUAAAUGAUAUUAUUUUUUGGUUUUUACUCGAAAAACUAGAAAACCAAACAUUUUAACCGAGUAAACUAAAAUAAAUAUUAAUUUAAAAUAAUAGUUAUAUUUUAGAAGAUUAAAACCAAUAAAAAAAACUUAAAACCGAACCAAUAUCCAGAUUAAACAGAUUUAAUGUAUUUUUAUUAAAAAUAACGAAACUAAUAAUCACAUCCUGCACAAAGCGCGGGUUAUUACCUAGUCUUCCUUUAUUUUGUUUGUUGUUGGAAGCAACUAGCGCUUCCUAUAAGCGCCUUAUUAUGCAAUCUUUAAUUUGUAUAACUUAGGUUUAUAUAUAUAUACAAGGAGGCAAGUUGGAUGAAGUCACAAGAAAAGUAAAAAACCAAAGGCUUGUUUUGUUGGCUUUUAAGAAUUUAGGGCAAAUCAUAUCCUACGUAAAUGAGUUAUCCAAAUCUUGUAUUUCCUACCACCGGUUAGAGAGACUGUCUUGAUGUCAGGCCAACUGGCCAAGUCCUCUACUGGCCCUCUCCAGAAGGCGUUUCAAAACUUUUGUGAUAGCGAAGGCAGUAUUACAUCGACGUUGAAGUGGCUAAGUUUUCUCGGUUUGAGUAAAGUAAGCAGAAGACGUUCAUGAGUUCAUCCUCAUACUCUUCGGAGAACUUAAUACAACAGGAAAGUUCAUGCAUUUGUAAGAUGGGUAUGUGAUACGAAGAUCCAACAGACCAAAAGAGAUUGGUUUUUGUUCUCCUAUCAAGAAGAAAAGUAAUAUCAACAGUAAACUUGGUAUCAUAUUCCAUAAACUCGUCACAAGCGAAGCAUCCAGAUUGAAGCAGCACAAUGAGCUAGUAGCUCACGCGUACUGUUUUUUUUUGUUUAAUGCCCUUAUUACUUGUAGAGUUGUAGUUGUAAAAGGUUCACCAAGGCAUAAUUAAAUAAAAAAACAUAACAAAGAUAGAUUUCAGUACUUGGUAUCUUAAUUUGUUUGAAAGGUUCACCAAAGCUUUCUUGUAUUCUUUUCUUUCUUUUGUAACAAGUGGCACGGGUUCAAAUACUUUUAACUUCAUCGAUGAAAAUCUUAAUCGGCUGGUUAAUAAUACAGAAAACAAAUAACGAUUUAAUUUUUUACCAAAUAAACUAAAGUUGAAAUAACGAUUAACAAAUUCAUUUACAUCUCUCCCACACCACAAACUCAAUUUCACACAAGAAGAAUAUUUUAACGAAUUGAAAAAGCAGUACUUAAAGUAUAUCAAACCACGGUUGUAGCCGUGUUAUCAGCAGCCUCUGUGUCUUUGCGGUCCUCUUGGUAACAAUAGGAUACGAUACCCAAAAUGACAAGUAUGAUGCCUAUAAGCGGACCCAGUAUUUUGACGAUCAAACCUGUCGUCGUCUCCAUCGAUCUUUCUUUUAAUGGAUUUCUGUUUAUUGGUUGAUAGAAACAAAUGACCAUCGAUAGAACCAUCUAUCUAUAUAUAUAUAUAUAUAUAUAUAUACUUCCUUUUCUAAGAUGAGCCGUUUGCUGACUUUGUAUUUUCUAAAUUUUUACAAUACAUACCAGGUGUUGCGUUUAACCUCCACUUGUGUACAUUUUUAAUAGGUUUUUAUUAUAUAGCUGAGAGUUGAGACGUGUGAUUGACCCAUUCUACUAGUCGGGUUGUCUAUGUAUUAGUUUGGUUUUAUAUGCUUUGCUAAAAAUACAUUUUUUAGAAACACGAUGUCAACUAACAAAAUCACCACGUUCAUGACUUUCUAUUUUGAGUAGUACUAAAUCUACUGAGUUCUGAUUUAUGCAUACAUGUUUACAUCUCUUGCACGUAAUAUCUCAGACUAUAACAUAUUAACAUUCAUGUUUCACACAAACAUAUUGGAAACAAUGAAUGUUGUAAACUCUGCAAAGGUUUGGAGAACUUAUUUUAUUCAUAUGAACGAAGUAACAAAAAUAAGAUAUUGAUAUGUUUCUAUCAUUAUCACAUGCAAACUUGAUACACAAGUAACAAACACAUUCUCCAAUGUAUUCUUCUUAGACCCUUCUUAUCAUAUUAGAAAUGUUUCUAAAACUCUAUACACAAAUGAAAUGAUAUGAACAAAAAGCAAGCAACGGUGGUAGCCGCCGCAUCCAUUUGCUGGUGGUGGUGUCUUUGCGACCAUACUUCUCUAUACAGGAUUGACUAGGGGUGAGCAUGAAUUGGAUAUUCGUUCGGUUUUCUAAUUCCAUCUGUUCUAAUACGGUUUUCUAAUUUCACCAAAUUUGUCUCUCUUGUAGAUAUAAUCAAUGAUUAUAUUCAUCUCUUGUCAAGAAACCUUAGUAGUUAUAAAAGGUUUUCUUAUUUUAUUUCAUGGGAAGGCAACGCCUUAUAUACAAUUAGGGCCGGUCCGUCCUACGGGUGGGAAGUUAUAAUAAAAGUGAUUUUAUAAUAAUUUAUGAAGUAAUUUAAAAUUAUGAUAGAUUAAAAAAUAUUAUAAACGAAAAAAUAAUGAAAAACUUAUGAGAUCAUUAUAAUUAUUUUUUUGUUUUGAAUUAUAAUGACAGUAAAUUUCACUAUUUUCUGAUAAAUAACAUUAUAUUUUUAAUAUUUGUUUUAAUUCAAAUGUUUUGUUUUAUAAUAUUCUUAAUUAAACUAACUUAUUUAAGGUUUUUUUUUGCGAAUAUGACUCAAAACUUGAGUCAUUCCUAAAGUAAUUCAUGCUUUUUUUUUGUGAUGUAAUUGUAUAAUCCCUUUGUAUGUAUGUUUUGUAAAAUUUUGUUAAGAGAAGUAUAUAAUAAUAUUUAUGGGUUUUGAGAAUUUUAGGGUGUCGAAAGAUUAUUUAUGUUAAGAUUAGUUAUAUUUGAGUUAAAAUGUUUUAAUGAGGGGGUUCAUUGAAUGAUUUAAUGUGAUAGUCAAUGAGGAUGCAUGAAUCCAUAACGGUUCCAAAAUUCAACCAAAGGUAGAAGAAGUGGAAUCGAACAGCCAAAUACGACGCCUUCCAACUAACCUUGAUCGGAAUUCAGCGUGGCCGGUGCAGCAAAUCUUCACUGGCCGUAGGUUUGAACCGGAGUUGUUAAAAUGCAGCAGAUCUAUCUUUCGUUCGUCGACAUUAUUUUUGGAGAAGAAGCCGUUUCAUGUGGGACCCUCUCAUGUGUUACCCUACAGCCUAGAAACCCAAUUGUGUUAAGCCUAAAACACUGAUCUGAAAUAUUUAUUUACAAAAAAAAAAGCCCAUUAAUAACUGUGAUUAAGUAAAACGGUGAGUAUCAUCCAACCCCAACACGUGUCGGCCUGUCAGGAACCGACUUUAUGACGUGGCAAAGCAGGAAUGAGGCGAAUAUAUUUUUAUAUAGAUAGAUACACAUACAAAGUAUUAAACCUAACUUGUACAUAAUAGAUUUACAAUACAAAAGGGCCGUACGGCCCAAUAACCCUCCUCAAGCUGGAGUGUGGAGGUUGAGAACACCCAGCUUGCAAAGAAAAGCUUCAUACUCCUUUCGGCCCAACGCUUUAGUCAUAAUAUCAGCCAGUUGCGAUUUGGUCGAACCACCUUUCUUGAUCACACCUUUCUUGAUCCAAUCUUGAAUUAAAUGGCACUCCUUCUCGAUAUGUUUUGUACGAGCAUGAAAAACCGGAUUAGCAGCCAAUUGGAUUGCCGAUAAACUGUCUGAAUACAGAGUAAUGCUCGAUGUAGUAUCAAUUCCAAACACAGCAAGGAGUUCCCGCAGACACAGUAAUUUACGCCACAGUAUCACCUAUUGCCCGAUAUUCUGCUUUUUUGCUGAAGAACAGGAGACAACGUCAUGUUUAUGUGAAUUCCAAGACAAAGGUGAACCACCCAAUUGAAUGAACCAACCAUGUAUCUGACAUAUAAAAAUCUAGAGAUAAAUCUAUCUAUUUAUUCUAUUAAAAUUGAAGUACAUUUUUUUGAUAUAAAAUAAUUUAGAAUAAUUUUCUCAAAUAGCGCUUUUAAGUUUUAUCACAAAAACAGCCUUCAAGAAAGAAAAUAACUAAAAUAGCUCUUUUUAUUUUGAAAAUAUAAUAUUUAUUUUUUUUAUUUUUUUUUUAAUUUGAAACUCUAUCCCCGAAACCUCACCCAUUAACUCUAAACCCUAAGUCUAGAUUAGUUAACCCUAAGAUCAUUUUCCCUUUAAUAAACCUUAUAUUUUUACCCUUUAAUAAAUUUUAUUUUGGUCAUUUUCUUUAUUGAAGACUAUUUUUGUGAUAAAAACUUAAAAAUGGCUCUCUUAAGGAAUUUCUAAAUAAUUUAUUUUAAAAAGAUAGAUUUAUUAAUAUAAAUAAACCUAAUAAUUGGUGUGUUAGUUUAUAAAUAAAUACAUCAAAAAUUGGUUAUUGUAGUAGAAAAAUUAUUAAUUACAAACAUGUGAUAUAACAUAUUAUUUUGAUUGGUUUUAUAUAACCAAUAAAUUACAUACAAUUAAAAUCAAUAAUGUAUCAUAAAUGUUAUAUAUAACAAAUUGAACAAAUAUCCAUACGAAUACAUGUUUGUGCAGCCAUUAUAUUAAUGUGUUUUAAAGAAUUUCAUAUGUCUAUGCUAUUAAACAAACUCUAGUACAUAUUAAAGGCAUAUUAAAUUUGAUUAAACUAUAUUAUUUUAUGAUUAACUAUAUAUUUUGUGAUACACAUACAACAACACGAAACUUUGUGGAGACGAGUACGAGCACAUCUAACUUCCAUUGCAGUUCUCAGAUCGCGAGAAACGGAAACUUCCAAGAAGCAGAAGCUCUAUUCAAACAGAUGUCUGCAGAGAGGCCCGUCCUUUGCAUAAGGCUGAUGAAGCAUAUGUUUUAGGCCACAAUCAAAUAAAUAGUUUUAGAGGCCACAUUUUAGAGAUGUUUUAGUGUAGUGGUUUCAGAUUGUUUGCUAAUACUCGUGACAUACGAGAGUCAACCCCUAUUAUGCACUUCUUUAAAAACAUAUGUAUCCUUCCACUAUUUUUUUCUGUUAGUUUUCAUAUAAUAUAUUGCUUAUUUAACAAUAUGAUUCUUUUGUUGACAAAUAAAAAAAUAAUAUGACCCUCUUCGAUUAUUUUCAUGGGCAAAUCUCCAAAAUAGCACCUUUCUAAGUUUAUAUCACAAAAAUAGCAUUCAAAAACUAAAAUGACCAAAAUAGCAUUUUAUUUUUUGAAAAAUUUAAAUUUUUUUAAUUUUCAAAAUUUGAAAUCUUAUCCCCAAAACCUCACUUCUCAACUCUAAACCCUAAAACCUAAACUCUAAAUCCUAAACCCUAAAUUCUAAACCCUAAACCCCACCCCUUGAGUGCUAUUUUUGUGACUUUUGGCCUUGAGUGUUAGUUUGAGAACAAAAACUUGAUUUAGUGCUAUUUUGAUCUUUUUCUCUAUUUUCAUUUCUUAAUAAUUUUCUAUAUCAUAUUUUUACUAUCAAGUAAUUAUAUAUUAGAAUAUUUUUUUUGUAUCUGAAUAGUAUUAGAGCUAUAUAUAUUACUAACUUUAACUGCCAUAAUUAUAAGUUUCCUACUAAAUUUAAAUAAAUAUAUUAUUAUCUGCUAAAUAUUGAUUCAUCGUUAAAAACAUAUUUUAAAUAUUAUUAUAAUCUAUAGCUCUAAUACUAUUCAGUUACAAAAAAAUUAUUCUAAUAUAUAAUUACUUGAUAGUAAAAAAUAUGAGGCCACUAUGGCCCUGUUCGUUUGCUCACCCAGGUGAUCCAUCUGGGUGAAGAUGCAAAUUGAUGUUCGUUUAAUGCAUUAUAAUGCUACAUCCAGAUGGAUCACCCAGCUGAAUCAUCUCAAAUUCUCACCCAAAUGAAGGUGAGUCUUGAUGGUGCAUCUGGAUGCAGAUGCAUCUAGUUCAGUCCAAAAUAAUAAAUGACAAAAAUGACAUUUUAAAAUCAAAAUAUUAUUUUCAAACCGUAAAUUCUAUUUUUUUUUGCAUAUACAUUUUUUCGCUAUAACAAAAAAAUGUAUUUUCUCGCAAAACGGAAAAACACACUUUUCCGCCAAAACCGCAAGAUGCAUUUUUCCGCAAAAA